rnacentral:rRNA from 1 species
UUGACCUCGGAUCAGGUAGGGAUACCCGCUGAACUUAAGCAUAUCAAUAAGCGGAGGAAAAGAAACCAACAGGGAUUGCCUCAGUAACGGCGAGUGAAGCGGCAAGAGCUCAAAUUUGAAAGCUGGCUCCUUCGGGGUCCGCAUUGUAAUUUGCAGAGGAUGCUUCGGGAGCGGUCCCCAUCUAAGUUCUCUGGAACGAGACGUCAUAGAGGGUGAAAAUCCCGUAUGGGAUGGGGUGUCCGCGCCCGUGUGAAGCUCCUUCGACGAGUCGAGUUGUUUGGGAAUGCAGCUCUAAAUGGGUGGUAAAUUUCAUCUAAAGCUAAAUAUUGGCCGGAGACCGAUAGCGCACAAGUAGAGUGAUCGAAAGAUGAAAAGCACUUUGAAAAGAGAGUUAAAAAGCACGUGAAAUUGUUGAAAGGGAAGCGCUUGCGACCAGACUCGCUCGCGGGGUUCAGCCGGCAUUCGUGCCGGUGUACUUCCCCGCGGGCGGGCCAACGUCGGUUUGGGCGGUCGGUCAAAGGCCCUCGGAAGGUAACGCCCCCAGGGGCGUCUUAUAGCCGAGGGUGCAAUGCGACCUGCCUGGACCGAGGAACGCGCUUCGGCUCGGACGUUGGCAUAAUGGUCGUAAGCGACC